GCGACACAGCCUCAGACAUUUUCGUUACGUUUACGUCGUUAUCAAUCAAUCUCCAGCCGUUCAAUCCAUCCACCCAUCCACAUCGUUCAAUCGCUUCAUAUUCAUAAGAUUCAAUUAAAAGCCAAAACCCUCACAGAAUGCUGGUCGUUUGAACACAGAUCCCAGACGACGGCAAAGAAAAAUAUAAAAAAAGCAAGCAAACAAUUUCGAAAUAAAACAAAAAUGUUAAAUGUUCUGUGGGCUAUGCGUUUAUUGCGUCCCUCAAUCAGUUGAAAAAGAUUACUCAAAGUGUCAACAACGCAGCUCAAUUCACCAGCUCCACGCGGUGCAUCAUUCCGAAUUAUUGAAAGAAGAACGAAAUUGAAAGUCGUCGGUGGUUUCCGAAACGUGACGGUAAUACUGAUUUCCCAAAUUCAAUUAGCAAAAAAACACUUCGCCUAAAAUAAAACGAUGAUGUUGCAGCGGCGUAUUAAUAUGGUCACAAUCUUCCUAGUUGUCUUGGCUAUUAUGACGCAUCACAGCAAUUUUGGCUAUGCCGUGCCCAUACUUGGACAACAAACUGAAUUCGAUGACAAUUCCAAGAUGCAGGGCAGAACAAAGCCGGUGUUGGUGUAUUGUGACGAAAUCGGAAACCAUUUGAAUUGCAUUUUGUUCUGCAAAAACCUGGGUCACAUGUCUGGCCAUUGUGGUGGUGAUUUUAUUUGUAAUUGUUUCUAAUCAAAUAUUUAUUUAAAUAAAUGUUGUUAAAUAAGAA